UGUGUGCGUCGAUCUCUUCAAGAGAAUAGCAGGGCCGAAAUGUGUGUGUGUGCGUUGGGAGUGUGUGUAGAG